AUUGAACGCUGGCGGCAGGCCUAACACAUGCAAGUCGAACGAGUGGCGGACGGGUGAGUAAUGUCUGGGAAACUGCCUGAUGGAGGGGGAUAACUACUGGAAACGGUAGCUAAUACCGCAUACCAUCGGAUGUGCCCAGAUGGGAUUAGCUAGUAGGUGGGGUAAAGGCUCACCUAAGCGACGAUCCCUAGCUGGUCUGAGAGGAUGACCAUCGGCACGGGAAAUGAGACACGGUCCCGAGUCCUACGGGAGGCAGAAGUGGGGCAUAUUGCACAAUGGGGGCAAGCAUGAUGAAGCCAUGCCGCGGGUAUGAAGAAGGCCUUAGGGUUGUAAAGUACUUUCCGCGGGGAGGCGUUACCCGCAGAAGAAGCACCGGCUAACUCCGUGCCAGCCGCCGCGGUAAUAC
rnacentral:rRNA from 1 species